GUACUACUCCCUCCGUUUCGAAUUACUUGUCGCAAGUAUGGAUGUAUCUAGAUGUAUUUUAGUUCUAGAUACAUUCAUUUCUGCGACGAGUAAUUUGAAACGGAGGGAGUAUAAA
rnacentral:pre_miRNA from 1 species